rnacentral:rRNA from 1 species
UACGAGGGGGGCGAGCGUUGUUCGGAAUUACUGGGCGUAAAGCGCGUGUAGGUGGCGAUGUAAGUCGGGUGUGAAAUCCCUCAGCUUAACUGAGGAAGUGCACUCGAUACUGUGUCGCUUGAGUGUUGGAGGGGAUGGCGGAAUUCCCGGUGUAGAGGUGAAAUUCGUAGAUAUCGGGAGGAACACCUGUGGCGAAGGCGGCCAUCUGGACAACUACUGACACUGAGACGCGAAAGCGUGGGUAGCAAACAGG